rnacentral:lncRNA from 1 species
NNNNNNNNNNNNNNNNNNNGAUAUCAUCUAUAGUACGCGCCAGGCAAUUGUGUUUAAGUUGGUUUGUCCUGAGAAAGCUCUGAGAAAGGGCUGUGCUGUUAGGUUAAUAUUUAGUAUGCNCUCACUGGUGUUCAUUUCCAUGUUCGUCUGAACCACAAGACCUUCCCUGGGUCANUGCUUUCUUUGUCACAGUUGUGUAUAAAAGUGAGUGCACUGAAACUGAAGUAAGGCUGACCAUGGCAUUAGACUACAGUCCGCCCUGGUCUUUCAAGUCCUCAGAUCCCAGGUCUCCAGAGAAUCAGAUUUCCUGAUUGGCCAAAGUCAACACCAAUCAGAAUUUUGCUGUAUCCCACCCAGGCUGGCCUGGAACUACACAUGAAGCCCACAUAGUUUCACACGUGUGGUUCUCCUGCCUCUGUCUUCUCUUGCCAAAAUUACUGCUGUGUACCACAACAACCAGCUAACUUCGGGAUCAUGGAGUAAACAGAGGCAGACAUGGUGACACAUGCCUGUAAUCCCAGCACUCAGGAGGCUGGUGGAGAAAAUUAUGAUUUUAAGGCUAGCCUGGACUCCACUGUGAGUCACAGACAAAUCAAAGCUAAUGAGUGAGACUCUGUCUCAAAACGAUACAAAAAUAAUUGUGUGGGGAAAAAAAUCUCAAAUAUGGCUUCUUUGAAUAAAAACGAAAGUUACCUC